UCGUCCAUGCCAACGUCCACUGACCACAGGUGGUUGACAAGUUGCUAGGGUCACUAAGUGCAACUAAAUUCGAUUUUUACUGGUAAUUGUCAGUUAUACUGACAUUUUCGCGGCCGCCGCUAAAACAGCCAGCCAUUUUGUUGAAUGUUUUGCCACUCAAAAGAGAAGUAAAUCAGUAGCAAGAGCCAUAUGUCAGGUAUGUAGACUGUUGUGAUAAAAAUACACGAAGUAUACAUAAAUUAAUACUCUUAUUCUGUGUAAUUGCAAAGUUUUGUCAGUGAGCAUUCAUUAAAAACAUCCAUUAUGAUGAGCCUUGCCAGUAAGGUGGGAUGGUUUGUUAGGCAAGACAAACAUAUAUGUCAGGAAAAGCAAUAUCUGGCCAUAUGCCAAUGUCCACUACUGGUUGUUAGGCAAGUUGCUAGGGGCGCAUACCCUCUAUUAAUUCCCCAUUAUGACGUCAUAUAGAACGUUCACUCAAGCGUGGUAAGAACGGGAUUCUUUUAUCAUUCUAUGGUAAGUAUCAGAACAGUAAAGGUGCAGAAAACAGGUGUUGCGAGACACAUGUAAGUUAUGUGCUUUAAUUAUUGUAAUCAUUUCAUCUUAAUUAUUUGACUUAAUUUUUUAACUAAAUGUUAGACACAAAUAAUAUAAAUUGUUUUUAAACUAAUUUAGCUCCUCAAUAAAAAUAUUUUUGCUGUGCAGUGGGCUGGGAAAAAAACGCCAAUAUGUGUGAAGGAUAUCGUGUAACGGAAUCCAGCGGGUUUUUAAAAGCUGUGUACUGUGUAAAACGUACUUAUCCCUACUGAAAAAUCCAGCAAAGACCAGUAUAAGCUGGUUUAGCUGGUUUGGGGUGGCAGAAGCUGGUCUAAGCUGGUCCUCCCAGCCUGGCAAAGCUGGUGGGUAGCCUGACCAGCAAAGUCCAGUUAGACCAGCUUAAAAAGUGACCAAAACACAGCUAGACCAGCUUGCUACACCAGCAAUACCAGCUAAAACCAAGCUGGGAGACCAGCUAAAAUCAGAUCACCAUGCUGGAUUUUUCGGUAGGGAUGAUCUUUAGCCGUUUUUGUGAAAACAUACAGGGGCGCUGCUAGUCGGAAUCCAGACAGAUAAUCCAGACACUAAUUAUUUACAUGUUGUUAAAUGUUAAGUGAAUUGUGUGAUUAAAAAUCGUGUAUUUUCAUAGACAGGUCCAUGUUCGAAUUGUGGCAACACUUGAGGUGUCUCACCUCAUCCCAUUUAUCACACGAAGAGAAACACGACGACCCAAAGACAAUAGGCAUUGCCAGAAAUUGAAUUAAGAGGUGAUGACAGUGGGAGGUGGAGGGACUUAUACACAACAUUUUUUUCUUUCAGAUUUAUUGCCAGCAUUUUAAUUCAGAGGUGAAAGUGACAUGCUUGUCAAGUAUGCAAUGCAUACUCAAAAUGUAACCUCUGAAUUUAACCCAUCACAGUAAGUAGUGAACACACACACACACACACACACACACACGCACGCACGCACACACACACACACACACACACACACCCGGAGCAGUGGGCAGCUACCCCAGCACCCAGGGAUCAAUUAAGCCAAGGUGCUUUGCUUAAGAUCACCACAAGUCACCGGCUCAAGCCGGCAACUCUCAGGUUAAAAGCCCGACUGUCACCACUAGGCUACAAAUGUCCCAGCUGAAGGACAAUGGGAGGUUUAAGAUUUAUUGCCAGCUUUUUAAUUCAGAGGUGGAUGACAGUGGGAGGAGGAGGGCCAUAUACACACAUUUUUUUCUUUCAGAUUUAUUGCCAGCAUUUUAAUUCAGAUGUGCCUUGCUCAAGGGCACCACAGUCACAACUCAUUGACCAUGAGACUCAAACUGGCAACUCUAGGGUUAAAAGCCCAAAACUCUCUAACCACUGGGCUACAACUGCCCCAGCUGAAGGACAAUGAGAGGUUUAAGAUUUAUUGCCAGCAUUUUAAUUCAGAGGUGGAUGACAGUGGGAGGAGGAGGGACAUAUACACAUUUUUUUUUCUUUCAGAUUUAUUGUCAGCAUUUUAAUUCAGAGGUGGAUACCAGUGGGAGGAGGAGGGCCAUUAUACACAAAACAUUUUUCUUUCAGAUUUAUUGCCAGCAUUUUAAUUCAGAGGUAAAAAGUGACAUGCUUGUCAAGUAUGCAAUGCAUACUCAAAACGUAACCUCUGAAUUUAACCCAUCACAGUGAGUAGUGAACACACACACACACACACACACACACACACACACACACACACACACACACACACACACACACACACACACACACACACACACACACACAAACUUAACCGGAGCAGUGGGCAGCUACCCCAGCACCCGGGGAGCAAUUAAGCCAAGGUGCCUUGUUUAAGAUCACCACAACUCACCGGUCGAGGGACUCGAGUCGGCAACUCUCGGGUUAAAAUCCCGACUGUCACCACUACUCUACAAAUGUCCCAGCUGAAGGACAAUGCGAGGUUUAAGAUUUAUUACCAGCAUUUUAAUUCAGAGGUGGAUGACAGUGGGAGGAGGAGGGCCAUAUACACACAUUUUUUUUCUUUCAGAUUUAUUGUCAGCAUUUUAAUUCAGAGGUGGAUACCAGUGGGAGGAGGAGGGCCAUUAUACACAAAACAUUUUUCUUUCAGAUUUAUUGCCAGCAUUUUAAUUCAGAGGUGAAAGUGACAUGCUUGUCAAGUAUGCAAUGCAUACUCAAAAUGUGACCUCUGAAUUUAACCCAUCACAGUGAGUAGUGAACACACACACACACACACACACACACACACACACACACACACACACACACACACACACACACGGAGCAGUGGGCAGCUACCCCAGCACCCAGGGAUCAAUUAAGCCAAGGUGCUUUGCUUAAGAUCACCACAAGUCACCGGCUCAAGCCGGCAACUCUCGGGUUAAAAGCCCGACUGUCACCACUAGGCUACAAAUGUCCCAGCUGAAGGACAAUGGGAGGUUUAAGAUUUAUUACCAGCAUUUUAAUUUAGAGGUGGAUGACAGUGGGAGGAGGAGGGACAUAUACACACAUUUUUUUUCUUUCAGAUUUAUUGCCAGCAUUUUAAUUCAGAUGUGCCUUGCUCAACGGCACCACAGUCACAACUCAUUGACCAUGAGACUCAAACUGGCAACUCUAGGGUUAAAAGCCCAAAACUCUCUAACCACUGGGCUACAACUGCCCCAGCUGGAGGACAAUGAGAGGUUUAAGCAUUUUAAUUCAGAGGUGGAUGACAGUGGGAGGUGGUGGGACUUUAUACACUACUUUUUUUUCUUUCAG